UGCCUUAUACUUUUCAUUAUCAUAUCUUUGGAAACAAAUCAAGCGAAGAUUUGGGUGGCCAUAAUCAUCACCAUCGUUUCUAUAAAACCUUUCAAACCCCACCAUCGUUCGAAGAUUGUUUCGUUAGUUCCGUCACGCCACCACCAUUGCCGCACACCUUAGUUCCGUUCCGCACGACCGUCCGAAGCUCUCAUUGUGUGUCUCCGGUUAUCGGGUCCGUCGUUGUAAUUCCCCGAUCUCGAUCAGCCACCACACCUCUCACGUUCGAUCGAUCGCCACCGCUAUCGUAGUUUCUUCUCGGCUCUCUGUGACGCAGCCACCAUCGUCGCCACUUGAAACCGAUCCGACACACCGAGGUUCUGCAGUCCUUGGUUUAGUUUGCGUGACCAUCCGAAGAGCGAAUCACGUGCUUUCGGUUAGCUCCGUUAGACUAUUGAGGUAUAUGGGAAAUUAGUUAACCCGGUUAAAUCGUCCAGUAUAACCUGGUUCAACCGAUGGAACCAUUUAUAAGCUUAAUCCGGUGUUUGAUUUUUGUGGACGACUUGAUUUUUUCUGGGUCGUUAGAUAUAUGGAGCUUGCAUAGGGAGGAGCAGGUCGUUGUGGAGCAUGGAUCGUGGAUGCCAUGUUAA
rnacentral:lncRNA from 1 species